rnacentral:rRNA from 1 species
CCUCUGGAUUGUAAACUUCUUUUAUUUGGGAAAAAACCCCCGAUUUCUAUUGGGGUUGACGGUACCAGAUGAAUAAGCACCGGCUAACUCCGUGCCAGCAGCCGCGGUAAUACGGAGGGUGCGGGCGUUAUCCGGAUUCACUGGGUUUAAAGGGUGCGUAGGCGGGUUGGUAAGUCCGUGGUGAAAUCUCCAAGCUUAACUUGGAAACUGCCGUGGAUACUAUCAGUCUUGAAUAUAGUGGAGGUGAGCGGAAUAUGUCAUGUAGCGGUGAAAUGCUUAGAUAUGACAUAGAACACCCAUUGCGAAGGCAGCUCGCUACACUAUUAUUGACGCUGAGGCACGAAAGCGUGGGGAUCAAACAGGAUUAGAUACCCUGGUAGUCCACGCCCUAAACGAUGAUUACUCGACAUCAGCGAUACACUGUUGGUGUCUGAGCGAAAGCAUUAAGUAAUCCACCUGGGAAGUACGACCGCAAGGUUGAAACUCAAAGG